rnacentral:rRNA from 1 species
UGGUCUUGACAUAGAAAGAACUUUCCAGAGAUGGAUUGGUGCCUGCUUGCAGGAGCUUUCAUAC